GGACCCGCACAAGCGGUGGAGCAUGUGGUUUAAUUCGAUGCAACGCGAAAAAACCUUACCUACACUUGACAUACUUCGAAUUUUCUAGAGAUAGAUUAGUGCCUUCGGGAGCGAAGAUACAGGUGCUGCAUGGCUGUCGUCAGCUCGUGUCGUGAGAUGUUGGGUUAAGUCCUAUAACGAGCGCAACCCUUACCCUUAUUUGCCAGCGGUUAGGCCGGGAACUAUAAGGGAACUGCCGGUAAUAAGCCGGAGGAAGGUGGGGACGACGUCAAGUCAUCAUGGCCCUUACGUGUAGGGCUACACACGUGCUACAAUGGGAGAUACAGACGGUUGCUAAAGCGCGAGCUGGAG
rnacentral:rRNA from 1 species